rnacentral:ribozyme from 1 species
CCGAAAUUAGACGAUUUGGAAGCGGGAGAGGAAAGGGAUACGGAAGAAGAGAGUGUUGUUGAGUGUCCAGUAGAUAAUGAGGGAGAGGUUGCUGUUGAGAUGG